rnacentral:rRNA from 1 species
GUCCUACGGGAGGCAGCAGUGGGGAAUAUUGCACAAUGGGGGGAACCCUGAUGCAGCGACGCCGCGUGGGUGAAGGAGUACUUCGGUACGUAAAGCCCUAUCAGCAGGAAAGAAAAUGACGGUACCUGACUAAGAAGCCCCGGCUAACUACGUGCCAGCAGCCGCGGUAAUACGUAGGGGGCAAGCGUUAUCCGGAUUUACUGGGUGUAAAGGGAGCGUAGACGGCAAUGCAAGUCCGGAGUGAAAGCCCGGGGCUCAACCCUGGGACUGCUCUGGAAACUGUACAGCUGGAGUGCGGGAGGGGG